GGCGAUGUCGCCAAGUGGUAAGGCAGAGGUCUGCAAAAUCUCCACCACCAGUUCGAAUCUGGUCGUCGCCUCCA
rnacentral:tRNA from 3 species